CCUACGGGUGGCAGCAGUCGAGAAUAAUGCACAAUGGGGGAAACCCUGAUGGAGCGACGCCGCGUGGGGGAAUGAAGGUCUUCGGAUUGUAAACCCCUGUCAUGUGGGAGCAAAUUAAAAAGAUAGUACCACAAGAGGAAGAGAAGGCUAACUCUGUGCCAGCAGCCGCGGUAAUACAGAGGUCUCAAGCGUUGUUCGGAAUCACUGGGCGUAAAGCGUGCGUAGGCGGUUUCGUAAGUCGGGUGUGAAAGGCGCGGGCUCAACCCGCGGACGGCACGUGAUACUGCGAGACUAGAGUAAUGGAGGGGGAACCGGAAUUCUCGGUGUAGCGGUGAAAUGCGUAGAUAUCGGGAGGAACACUCGUGGCGAAGGCGGGUUCCUGGACAUUAACUGACGCUGAGGCACGAAGGCCAGGGGAGCGAAAAGGAUUAGAUACCCGAGUAGUC
rnacentral:rRNA from 1 species